GGGGCUGAUUAUGGAUUUGACAUAAUUAUCAAAUUUUAGGAGCAUGUCAAGGAAACGGUAGGCCUUGUAAAAAAACCGUAUUUUAAGUAAUUGCAAAAAAUCAAAACUAUGCUUUAGCAGCAUAAAAAACUGUAAAAGCCCUGUUUCUUAUUAUUUGCUCUUUAAUGAAAAGUAAACAGGUCAUAAUUUAAAGAGAUCGUAUAUUAUAAGUCUUAAAAUAAUAUAUUAAAGAAAUAAAAUAGACUAUGUAAUAUUGAAUUUGUUUUAUUAUUAAAUAUUACUAAAAUUUAUAAAAUAAAAAUAAACAUGUAGUUCCGAAAAUGUAGUAAUUUUGGACGGGGGUUCGAAUCCCCCCAGCUCCACCA
rnacentral:tmRNA from 1 species